UACGUAGGGUGCGAGCGUUGUCCGGAAUUACUGGGCGUAAAGAGCUCGUAGGUGGUUUGUCGCGUUGUUCGUGAAAACUCACAGCUCAACUGUGGGCGUGCGGGCGAUACGGGCAGACUGGAGUACUGCAGGGGAGACUGGAAUUCCUGGUGUAGCGGUGGAAUGCGCAGAUAUCAGGAGGAACACCGGUGGCGAAGGCGGGUCUCUGGGCAGUAACUGACGCUGAGGAGCGAAAGCAUGGGGAGCAAACAGG
rnacentral:rRNA from 1 species